CCUACGGGUGGCAGCAGUGGGGAAUAUUGCACAAUGGGGGAAACCCUGAUGCAGCCACGCCGCGUGAGUGAAGAAGUAAUUCAUUAUUGAAAGCUCCAUCAGCAAGGAAGCAAAUUAAGGUACCUGAGUAAGAAGCCACGGCUAAAUACGUACCAGCAGCCGCGACAAGACGUAGGGCGCCAGCGUUAUCCGGAUUUAAGGGGUGUUAAGGGGGCGUACGCGGGUCUGCAAGUCCGGAGGGAAAGGCGGGGGGCUAACCCCCGGACUGCCGUGGAAACUGUACGGCUGGAGUGCAAGAGAGGUAAGCGGAAUGCGUAGUGUAGCGGUGAAAUGCGUAGAUAUUACGCAGAACACCAGUGGCGAAGGCGGCUUACUGGACUCUAACUGACGUUGAGGCUCGAAAGCGUGGGGAGCGAACAGGAUUAGAUACCCCUGUAGUC
rnacentral:rRNA from 1 species